rnacentral:lncRNA from 1 species
UCGAAAAGUAUAUAUCCCUCUGGUUGGAGCAUUCUUGAAGAAGAAGAAAAUUUGUGCGAACGCCCACUGUUUAUGUAAGAAAAAGAGAACAGUGGGCAGAGAUUCCAGACUUUCUACUAAAUUCACACUUCCCUUCACCUCUCACACAUACAUUAAACCCUAAUUCACAAAAUCCUAAUCAGUGACAUGGACGCCGCCCAAAAUCCUUUAUGCGCACAAGAAGCACUCGAUCUUCUAAAUUGCACCACUGAGAAACCUUACGAUAAGGAGAAAUGCCAACGUCUGCUCGAAUCCUUGCGCCAAUGCGUCCUUAACAAGGUAAUUAGAAUUGAUUAUGGUGUGAGCCUCUUUUUUUAUUUAAAUAUGUUUAGUGAUGCUUAUUGUUGGUUUUGAUUCUGUUCCUUACUGUUGUUUUUUUAAACACUUGAAUUUUGAUCUGCAUUUUUCACCUUUGGGUGGCUAGUUAGGUGAAUAACUGGAUAAUCCGCCUAGAGGAACUGUAAUUAAGGGUUUUAAAGCAGAAGUUCUUUGUUUUUUUAAACUGAAUUAAGUUAUAACUAUUGCAAGGGGUGGCAUAGCGGUCAAUGAGUUGGAGUGACAACCUUAGGACUCAAGGUUCAAAUUACUAAGGCGACACUGUGAAUUUUCAUGUGCUUAAGCCUUGGUACACAAAGUUGUCGAAUACUUGCUGGAGGGGUGUAGCAGGUACUCAGUGGAUUAGUAGACCUAUGCACAAGCUGAUUUGAACACAGCUGUUAAACAAAUGCAAGUUAGUGGAUUUCUUGUUUUGCACUAUCUUUAGAUUAUAUAAACUACCUGUUAAGUGAAGCAAAAUUCAUUUUAUAUCUAGAGUUGCUGGCUGUUUUUCAUACUUUAUGGUGCAACUUUUAGAUCAUGGAAAGGAUCAGGGGAAAAUACAAUGAUUAAGAAGUGCCUAACCCUUCUUGUUCGUGCAUUUUAGAUAUGGAAGAAAAGAAAAUGAGGUUCUAGGAAUUGUUCCAGGGGAGUGAUAGAAAGAUUAUGUUGACGUGAUCGAAGCAUGAUGUUUCGAUAGGUGCAUAUAAUACAUUAGAUAGUGCCAACACACAAAAUUGAGUUAUGAGUGAUUUUUUUAAUAACAUUGGUCUCAGGGACUGCUUGCACGCUCCUCGAUUAUUCUACUGGGUACCUGCCACCUCCCACCAGCAUAAAUACCUUGUAACUUUGUCCGAGAUGAUGCAUGUUUUGCGGUCUUGGCAAAUGAGUCUCAUCCAGUAACGAAAUUAACCGAUCAAACCAUAUCAGGAGUUUUGUCUCGUCAAGAGAAACACAACAAUGAAAAUCUCGUCUUAUAAUCCUCCACCUACACCUACAUGCUUGGCUUGAAGUCUUUCUGCCAACAAUGCGAAUGUUCACUGCCCCUCAUUCUUGUCUAAACUGAUGUCAUACAGCCAUUUUACUUACUUGAUAUGUCCAAUCAAUAGUCCCACACCUAGUCGGCAAAGUUUUCAGAAAGUUGGCUGGAGUUUUACUAUGUUUGAUUUUAUUUUAGCAUACUGUUUUGUCAUAUUCAAACCAGAGACAAUAUUAAUUGCGUUCAUAGGGGAGCACGCUUUACGGAGGGAGGUAGUAGUAGAGAAGUAUGGUUUUAUAGAGGGAGGGUGAUGGAGGACUAGAUCUAUCAUGAUCUUGUUUGGGUGUACUAUGUGGCUGAAUAUUAUGAAGGGGUGGGAAGAUUUCAGUGAUCAUAUUACUUUUAGGGUUGGGGAUGGGAGAAGUAGCUUUUGGAACCAUAAGUGAUUAAGUGGUGUGGGGAGGAUGCAUUGAGGGUUUCAUUCCCUAAUGUGUUCAGAGUUUCUAACCAAGGUGAUUUGUCAACAAAUUCAAAGGGUGCAAGAGGAAGAAGUACUUUUGGGAUCUAAACCUAGACUCAGAGUUGGGGG